rnacentral:snRNA from 1 species
GUGCUUGCUUCAGCAGCACAUAAGUGUACUAAAACUGGAACGAAAUAGAGAAGAUUCACAUGGCCCCUGUGCAAAGAUGACACACAUAUUUGUGAAGCAUUCCAUAUUUAA